AAUACACAACACUCAUGACUAUAAUUACAGCACCAUCCGUGUCGGCAUUAUUCAGACUGAGAUUCACACUAGCUUUUGUAUCAAAAGAACAGGCCUCUUUGAUGAAUCAGGUUCAUUAUCAUCACUCAGUUACUCCAGUGUGAGUCCAUUGAUUUCAAUGGAGUUACGCCAUCAGACAACAAGGAGUCAGGCAGCGUUGCAUUAAGAUUCACAUCAACCGUGGAAGGCAGACUCAGCUCCUCUGGGAAGGGUCUGAACAAGUCCAAAGAGGAAGCAAAGUCUCAAAAAAAAUCCAAAGAUUUCACAGCCUAUUUUCAGGUCCCAGGGUCCUCUUCCUUGGACCCAAGAGGAGCAGAAGAAAUGGAUGUUUGGAGUAAGCCAGCUUAGUGGAGUGCACAUUGUGGUGGAAGACAAGAAGCCAAGGAUGUAGGAGAGAAUGGAAUGGAGGGAUGAGUGAGCUGGAAGUGGGGGACACAGUGGUUAAGAACAGGGACUGCAGGUCCUGGAAAGGCCAGCAGAAGCAGUGGGAGAUGGUCUUCUGUACCCCCAUCAUCAUUUGGGGGCAACACGCCCUGCUGAUUUCUGUGGCAUUGCACCAUUAUGGCUACAAUGCUGCAGUUGUCUAGACUUGAGAAAACAAAGGCAGUGUCAACUGUGCUGAAGUCUGCAUCAGAGAGUAACACACACAAUUACUUGGCCAAUCAAAGAUGAAACCCAUGGGCAUGAAAGGAGUAUUUUACACAGGAGUCACACUGGGGAGGCCAGGAUGGAGAGAAGAUAAUUCAAGUUAGUAAUAGUGAAUACAUUAUGCUACAAAAAAAGUGGAAAAAAGCAGGAAUAAAUCAGCAUUGUCCGAGUUCUUCUACGGCAUCUCCCUUGUAGCGAGCUUCCA